AACCCAUGGUGAGGGCAUUUUCUUAACAGAUCGUUGUAUCUCUCUCAUGCAUCGUAGAGUGUCUCUAAAUCCAUCUGCACAAAAUAGGAGAUAUCGUUAUAUAAUUGGGCU
rfam:Gossypium arboreum cultivar AKA8401 contig_27302_3, whole genome shotgun sequence.